rnacentral:rRNA from 1 species
UGCCAGACUCCUACGGGAGGCAGCAGUGGGGGAUAUUGCACAAUGGGGGGAACCCUGAUGCAGCGACGCCGCGUGGGUGAAGAAGCGCCUCGGCGCGUAAAGCCCUAUCGGCAGGGAAGAAGGAGGAAGGUACCUGACUAAGAAGCCCCGGCUAACUACGUGCCAGCAGCCGCGGUAAUACGUAGGGGGCAAGCGUUAUCCGGAUUUACUGGGGGUAAAGGGGGCGCAGACGGCAGCGCAAGCCAGGAGUGAAGGCCCGGGGCCCAACCCCGGGACUGCUCUUGGAACUGCGCGGCUGGAGUGCAGGAGGGGCAGGCGGAAUUCCUGGUGUAGCGGUGAAAUGCGUAGAUAUUAGGAGGAACACCGGUGGCGAAGGCGGCCUGCUGGACGACGACUGACGCUGAGGCUCGAAAGCGUGGGGAGCAAACAGGAUUAGAUACCCGCGUA